rnacentral:rRNA from 1 species
UACAGGAGGUGCGAGCGUUGUUCGGAAUUGAUUGGGCGUAAAGGGCGCGUAGGCGGCGCGGUAUGUCACCUGUCGAAAAUCUCCCUGGCUACAACUGGGAGCUUGCAGGCGAAACUGCCGUGCUGGAGUGUGGGAGAGGUGCGUGGAAUUCCCGGUGUAGCGGUGAAAUGACGUAGAUAUCGGGAGGAACACCUGUGGCGGAAAGCGGCUCACUGGACCAUAACGUGACGCUGACUGGCACGAAAAGCCUAGGGGAGCAAACAGG